rnacentral:rRNA from 1 species
AGAGUUUGAUCCUGGCUCAGGAUGAACGCUGGCGGCGUGCUUAACACAUGCAAGUCGAGCGAAGCAGCUGUUUGGAAUCCUCCGGGAGGAAGAACAUCUGACUGAGCGGCGGACGGGUGAGUAACGCGUGGGGAACCUGCCUUAUACCGGGGGAUAACAGCUGGAAACGGCUGCUAAUACCGCAUAAGCGCACGGCACCGCAUGGUGCAGUGUGAAAAACUCCGGUGGUAUAAGAUGGACCCGCGUUAGAUUAGCUUGUUGGCGGGGUAACGGCCCACCAAGGCGACGAUCUAUAGCCGGCCUGAGAGGGCGACCGGCCACAUUGGGACUGAGACACGGCCCAAACUCCUACGGGAGGCAGCAGUGGGGAAUAUUGCACAAUGGGCGAAAGCCUGAUGCAGCGACGCCGCGUGAGCGAAGAAGUAUUUCGGUAUGUAAAGCUCUAUCAGCAGGGAAGAAAAUGACGGUACCUGACUAAGAAGCCCCGGCUAACUACGUGCCAGCAGCCGCGGUAAUACGUAGGGGGCAAGCGUUAUCCGGAUUUACUGGGUGUAAAGGGAGCGUAGACGGCAGUGCAAGUCUGGAGUGAAAGCCUGGGGCUUAACCCCGGAACUGCUUUGGAAACUGUGCUGCUUGAGUACCGGAGGGGUAAGCGGAAUUCCUAGUGUAGCGGUGAAAUGCGUAGAUAUUAGGAGGAACACCAGUGGCGAAGGCGGCUUACUGGACGGUAACUGACGUUGAGGCUCGAAAGCGUGGGGAGCAAACAGGAUUAGAUACCCUGGUAGUCCACGCCGUAAACGAUGA